AACGAACGCUGGCGGCGUGCCUAACACAUGCAAGUCGAGCGCGAAAGGAGCAAUCCGAGUAGAGCGGCGCACGGGUGCGUAACACGUGGAUAAUCUGCCUCAGGGUUGAGGAUAACCUUCCGAAAGGUUGGCUAAUACUCGGUAAGCUUACGGUGACUUCGGUCGCUGUGAGAAAACUAGACCUCUAUUUAUAAGUUUAGGCCCAGAGAUGAGUCCGCGGCCCAUCAGCUAGUUGGCGGGGUAACGGCCCACCAAGGCUACGACGGGUAGCUGGUCUGAGAGGACGAUCAGCCACACUGGGACUGAGACACGGUCCAGACUCCUACGGGAGGCAGCAGUGGGGAAUAUUGGACAAUGGGCGAAAGCCUGAUCCAGCCAUGCCGCGUGUGUGAAGAAGGCCUUCGGGUUGUAAAGCACUUUAAGCGAGGAGGAAUGGCUGAGGGUUAAUAACCUUCAGCAGUGACGUUACUCGCAGAAUAAGCACCGGCUAACUCUGUGCCAGCCGCCGCGGUAAAAC
rnacentral:rRNA from 1 species